rnacentral:rRNA from 1 species
UUCGCCCUUAGGGCAAGUCUGGUGCCAGCAGCCGCGGUAAUUCCAGCUCCAAUAGCGUAUAUUAAAGUUGUUGUGGCUAAAAAGCUCGUAGUUGAACCUUGGGCCUGGCUGGCCGGUCCGCCUCACCGCGUGUACUGGUCCGGCCGGGCCUUUCCCUCUGUGGAACCCCAUGCCCUUCACUGGGCGUGGCGGGGAAACAGGACUUUUACUGUGAAAAAAUUAGAGUGCUCCAGGCAGGCCUAUGCUCGAAUACAUUAGCAUGGAAUAAUAGAAUAGGACGUGUGGUUCUAUUUUGUUGGUUUCUAGGACCGCCGUAAUGAUUAAUAGGGACAGUCGGGGGCAUCAGUAUUCAAUUGUCAGAGGUGAAAUUCUUGGAUUUAUUGAAGACUAACUACUGCGAAAGCAUUUGCCAAGGAUGUUUUCAUUAAUCAGGAACGAAAGUUAGGGGAUCGAAGACGAUCAGAUACCGUCGUAGUCUUAACCAUAAACUAUGCCGACUAGGGAUCGGACGGUGUUAUUUUUUGACCCGUUCGGCGCCUUACGGGAAAC